CGGUGUUCAACUGGCGUGUCCGCGGGACGUCCUGCCGGUGGGCUUAGCCCGCAAGGGCGGCCCAACUUCAAAUCCCAUCGCAGUGCUCUUCACUGAGUGUCGAGGUGGGCCGGCACGUUUACUUUGAACAAAUUAGAGUGCAUAAAGCAGGCUAAAACUUCGCCUGAAUACUGUGUGCAUGGAAUAAUGGAAUAGGACCUCGGUUCUAUUUUGUUGGUUUUCGGAACCCCGAGGUAAUGAUUAAUAGGAACGGAUGGGGGCAUUCGUAUUGCGACGUUAGAGGUGAAAUUCUUGGAUCGUCGCAAGACGGACAGAAGCGAAAGCAUUUGCCAAAAACGCUUUCAUUGAUCAAGAACGAAAGUUAGAGGUUCGAAGGCGAUCAGAUACCGCCCUAGUUCUAACCAUAAACGAUGCCAGCUAGCGAUCCGUCGACGUUCCUCCGAUGACUCGACGGGCAGCUUCCGGGAAACCAAAGCUUUUGGGUUCCGGGGGAAGUAUGGUUGCAAAGCUGAAACUUAAAGGAAUUGACGGAAGGGCACCACCAGGAGUGGAGCCUGCGGCUUAAUUUGACUCAACACGGGAAACCUCACCAGGCCCGGACACCGGAAGGAUUGACAGAUUGAGAGCUCUUUCUUGAUUCGGUGGGUGGUGGUGCAUGGCCGUUCUUAGUUGGUGGAGCGAUUUGUCUGGUUAAUUCCGAUAACGAACGAGACUCUAGCCCUGCUAACUAGGCGUAUUUUCGACAUCUCAAAGGUCCGUCGUCCCGGCCCUCGGGUCGUGGGCGUGCGCGAUUUUUACUGUCGGCGUACUAUCAAUUCUUCUUAGAGGGACAGGUGGCUUCUAGCCGCACGAGAUUGAGCAAUAACAGGUCUGUGAUG
rnacentral:rRNA from 1 species